CCUACGGGUGGCUGCAGUGAGGAAUAUUGGUCAAUGGGCGGAAGCCUGAACCAGCCAAGUCGCGUGAGGGAAUAAGGCCCUACGGGUCGUAAACCCCUUUUGCCGGGGAGCAAGGGCGGGGUCGUGUCCCGGCCCGGAGAGUACCCGGAGAAAAAGCAUCGGCAAACUACGUGCCAGCAGCCGCGGUAAUACGGAGGAUGCGAGCGUUAGCCGAUUUUAUUGGGUUUGAAGGGUGCGUAGGGGGGCUUUUAAGUCAGCGGUAAAAAUUCGGGGCCCAACCCCGUCCGGCCGUUGACACUGGGGGCCUUGAGUGGGCGAGAAGAAGGCGGAAUGCGUGGUGUAGCGGUGAAAUGCAUAGAUAUCACGCAGAACCCCGAUUGCGAAGGCAGCCUUCCGGCGCCCUACUGACGCUGAGGCACGAAAGUGCGGGGAUCGAACAGGAUUAGAUACCCGGGUAGUC
rnacentral:rRNA from 1 species